CUGGGAAAGGGGUUAGAGUCCCCGAGAAAGGGGUUAGAGUCCCCGGGAAAGGGGUUAGAGUCCCCAGAGAGGGGUUAAAGUCCCCGGAGAGGGGUUAGAGUCCCCAGUGAGGGGUUAGAGUCCCCGGAGUAGGGUUAGAGUCCCUACAGGCUAAAUGGGACAGUUUGGCAGCAAGUGCCCGGGGGACGCCCCGUUGUCUCUGGUACUUAGAAAUUGGAAGGAAAUCUCUGGAACAACCGGUUUGACUAAAUCUAAAUGAGAAACUUAUGCCAAAUUCAAUGGCCUUCCUUUACUACCCAUUUGUCCCCGACUAAAGACUGGCCAAGGUGCAGAACCUUUUUUGUUGACAGGGUGGAUUCCCUCAGGAAUAUCCUGGUUGAUCUUAGACCAGGACAAAUGGAUUAUUUAUUUGUAUGGUAUAACUAUAAACCAAAAGAAAAACUGCUUUCGGCCCCAGCUGGCUGUGAAAAAAUAUAGACAGAGGCAAACCAAAGGCAGUACAAGUUACAGUGCUGAGAUUACAUUUGCAAAGCUUAACUAUCAAGUGAGAUCCAACAGUUUGCCUUUGAGACCCUGGAGCUGGCGUGGUUUGGGGAUGCUGAAGAAGCCACAGGCAGCCGGCCUGGACUGGAAUCUCUGAAAGAGACUCUGCAGGAGAACCCAGGGUGUAAAAGAACAGCCCUCCCAAGAGUGAGAAGUUAACUCUAUAGUUGCUAGAGGGAAUUAAGCAGUGAAACUUGGUUUUUUCCACAGGUAAAGAAGCACUACCUAAAGACGGUAGCAGUCCUGCCAUUCAUUGAAACCAGGAGACUGAGUCUAUGUAAAGUCCAUUAACGAAAGACUGCUUUGACUCCAUGCUGGAAAGGCCCUUUCCAAGUCCUGUUAACCACCAACACUGCUGUGAAGUGCCAAGGACUGCCUACCUGGACUCAUACUUCUCACUGCAAAAAGACCCCUAAACCUCGGGAGGACUCUCCGACUGAUGAUCAGCCUAUUCCUCCUUCUAACUCUGCUGUGCCUUCUGGACAGCAGGGUAAAG